rnacentral:rRNA from 1 species
AUGCAGUCGAGCGGUAAGGCCUUUCGGGGUACACGAGCGGCGAACGGGUGAGUAACACGUGGGUGAUCUGCCCUGCACUUCGGGAUAAGCCUGGGAAACUGGGUCUAAUACCGGAUAUGACCUCAGGUUGCAUGACUUGGGGUGGAAAGAUUUAUCGGUGCAGGAUGGGCCCGCGGCCUAUCAGCUUGUUGGUGGGGUAAUGGCCUACCAAGGCGACGACGGGUAGCCGACCUGAGAGGGUGACCGGCCACACUGGGACUGAGACACGGCCCAGACUCCUACGGGAGGCAGCAGUGGGGAAUAUUGCACAAUGGGCGAAAGCCUGAUGCAGCGACGCCGCGUGAGGGACGACGGCCUUCGGGUUGUAAACCUCUUUCAGCAGGGACGAAGCGCAAGUGACGGUACCUGCAGAAGAAGCACCGGCUAACUACGUGCCAGCAGCCGCGGUAAUACGUAGGGUGCAAGCGUUGUCCGGAAUUACUGGGCGUAAAGAGUUCGUAGGCGGUUUGUCACGUCGUUUGUGAAAACUGGGGGCUCAACCCCCAGCCUGCAGUGGGUACGGGCAGACUAGAGUGCGGUAGGGGAGAUUGGAAUUCCUGGUGUAGCGGUGGAAUGCGCAGAUAUCAGGAGGAACACCGGUGGCGAAGGCGGGUCUCUGGGCAGUAACUGACGCUGAGGAACGAAAGCGUGGGUAGCGAACAGGAUUAGAUACCCUGGUAGU